UUCGCAAUGCCCGAAAGGGUGACGAAGCGACGCCGCGUGUGGGAAGAAGGCCUUCGGGUUGUAAACCACUGUCGGGAGUUAAGAAAUGCAAGGAUAUUAAUAGUGUCUUUGUUUGACUAAGGCUCCGGAGGAAGCCACGGCUAACUCUGUGCCAGCAGCCGCGGUAAUACAGAGGCGGCAAGCGUUGUUCGGAAUUAUUGGGCGUAAAGAGCACGUAGGCGGCUAUGUAAGUCGGUUGUGAAAGCCUUCCGCUCAACGGAAGAACAGCAUCCGAUACUACAUGGCUUGAGUGCGGGAGGGGAGAGUGGAACUUCUGGUGGAGCGGUGAAAUGCGUAGAUAUCAGAAGGAACACCGGCGGCGAAGGCGACUCUCUGGCCCGUAACUGACGCUGAGUGUGCGAAAGCUAGGGGAGCAAACGGGAUUAGAUACCCCGGUAGUCCUAGCCGUAAAC
rnacentral:rRNA from 1 species